UGGGGAAUUUUGGACAAUGGGGGAAACCCUGAUCCAGCCAUCCCGCGUGUGCGAUGAAGGCCUUCGGGUUGUAAAGCACUUUUGGCAGGAAAGAAACGUCAUGGGUUAAUACCCCGUGAAACUGACGGUACCUGCAGAAUAAGCACCGGCCAACUACGUGCCAGCAGCCGCGGUAAUACGUAGGGUGCAAGCGUUAAUCGGAAUUACUGGGCGUAAAGCGUGCGCAGGCGGUUCGGAAAGAAAGAUGUGAAAUCCCAGAGCUCAACUUUGGAACUGCAUUUUUAACUACCGGGCUAGAGUGUGUCAGAGGGAGGUGGAAUUCCGCGUAUAGCAGUGAAAUGCGUAGAUAUGCGGAGGAACACCGAUGGCGAAGGCAGCCUCCUGGGAUAACACUGACGCUCAUGCACGAAAGCGUGGGGAGCAAACAGG
rnacentral:rRNA from 1 species